UCCCUGGUGGUUUAGUGGCUAAAACUCCAAGCUCCCAAUUCAGGGGGCCUGGGUUCGAUCCCUGGUCAGGGAA
rnacentral:tRNA from 1 species